UCCUCGGGCGCAGCAGUAGGGAAUAUUGCUCAAUGGGGGAAACCCUGAAGCAGCAACGCCGCGUGGAGGAUGAAGGUUUUCGGAUUGUAAACUCCUUUUGUUAGAGAAGAUAAUGACGGUAUCUAACGAAUAAGCACCGGCUAACUCCGUGCCAGCAGCCGCGGUAAUACGGAGGGUGCAAGCGUUACUCGGAAUCACUGGGCGUAAAGAGCGCGUAGGCGGGAUAGCAAGUCAGAUGUGAAAUCCUAUGGCUUAACCCAUGAACUGCUAUUGAAACUGCACAGCUUGAGUGAAGUAGAGGUAGG
rnacentral:rRNA from 1 species